GCAUCAAUGGGGUAGUGGUAACCUGGGUCGUUGCCACGUGGGGAGCACGUGAACUGUACUCGACCCGCCGGGGGUUCGAUUCCCUCUUGAUGCA